rnacentral:rRNA from 1 species
UGUGUAGGUGGUUAUAUUAGUCUUGUGUUAAAUUCUCGAGCUCAACUCGAGGGCCGCACAAGGAACGGUAUAACUAGAGGAUGCGAGAGGUGUACGGAACUCAUGGAGUAGGGGUGAAAUCCGUUGAUAUCAUGGGGAACACCAAAAGCGAAGGCAGUACACUGGCGUACUCCUGACACUGAAACACGAAAGCUAGGGUAGCGAACG